CUUAAAAAGCAGCUUUGGCUCAGAUUCAACUCAAACCUAAGAGCAAGAAAGGGACGUGUUACAUAACCGACCACAACUGAACUUCACAGCCAGAGAGGGAUGGGAGAGAAAAACAGCAGCUACUGCAACCACUUUUGAUCUCUGCUGCCCCUGAAUCAGAUGUCAGGUGGUGUCUUGCAGAACCAGGAAGCUAUAAAUCCUGAUUAACAAAUCAAACAUGGAAGUUAGGGAAGUGAGAGCAGUGGAGAAUGUGGUGUUGACCUACUAAAGUGAGAGAUUGGGCUGCUGAGCUACACCCUUCAGUGUAGUCCCUGCCUAUAAAUUCUGGUGCCCUCCUGUACCAGGAGCUCCAAGGAGAUGGCUGCCACCAUGAUCUUGUCUUGGAUGGUGAUGAUAAGUCUUCAAAUUCAGCUGGAUGCAGCUUGGACAACAGGAGAUGCUGAACCAGAAGGGCCUCUAACAACAGAAGAAGCACUACAUCCCCCGACAACACCUGACCCCGUGAGUUUUCCAGUUCCAGAUGA